GUUUCCGUAGUGUAGUGGUUAUCACGUCUGCCUCACACGCAGAAGGUCCCCAGUUCGAGCCUGGGAGGAAACA
rfam:Nematostella vectensis strain CH2 x CH6 NEMVEscaffold_10243_Cont56856, whole genome shotgun sequence.